rnacentral:rRNA from 1 species
CUUGCUGCUUCGCUGACGAGUGGCGGACGGGUGAGUAAUGUCUGGGAAACUGCCUGAUGGAGGGGGAUAACUACUGGAAACGGUAGCUAAUACCGCAUAACGUCGCAAGACCAAAGAGGGGGACCUUCGGGCCUCUUGCCAUCGGAUGUGCCCAGAUGGGAUUAGCUAGUAGGUGGGGUAACGGCUCACCUAGGCGACGAUCCCUAGCUGGUCUGAGAGGAUGACCAGCCACACUGGAACUGAGACACGGUCCAGACUCCUACGGGAGGCAGCAGUGGGGAAUAUUGCACAAUGGGCGCAAGCCUGAUGCAGCCAUGCCGCGUGUAUGAAGAAGGCCUUCGGGUUGUAAAGUACUUUCAGCGGGGAGGAAGGCGAUAAGGUUAAUAACCUUGUCGAUUGACGUUACCCGCAGAAGAAGCACCGGCUAACUCCGUGCCAGCAGCCGCGGUAAUACGGAGGGUGCAAGCGUUAAUCGGAAUUACUGGGCGUAAAGCGCACGCAGGCGGUCUGUCAAGUCGGAUGUGAAAUCCCCGGGCUCAACCUGGGAACUGCAUUCGAAACUGGCAGGCUAGAGUCUUGUAGAGGGGGGUAGAAUUCCAGGUGUAGCGGUGAAAUGCGUAGAGAUCUGGAGGAAUACCGGUGGCGAAGGCGGCCCCCUGGACAAAGACUGACGCUCA